GGGGGGGCGGCUACACAUGCAAGUCGAGCGGGGGAGAUUGCUUCGGUAAUUGACCUAGCGGCGGACGGGUGAGUAAUACUUAGGAAUCUGCCUAUUAAUGGGGGACAACAUCUCGAAAGGGAUGCUAAUACCGCAUACGCCCUACGGGGGAAAGCAGGGGAUCACUUGUGACCUUGCGUUAAUAGAUGAGCCUAAGUCGGAUUAGCUAGUUGGUGGGGUAAAGGCCUACCAAGGCGACGAUCUGUAGCGGGUCUGAGAGGAUGAUCCGCCACACUGGGACUGAGACACGGCCCAGACUCCUACGGGAGGCAGCAGUGGGGAAUAUUGGACAAUGGGGGGAACCCUGAUCCAGCCAUGCCGCGUGUGUGAAGAAGGCCUUAUGGUUGUAAAGCACUUUAAGCGAGGAGGAGGCUCUCUUGGUUAAUACCCAAGAUGAGUGGACGUUACUCGCAGAAUAAGCACCGGCUAACUCUGUGCCAGCAGCCGCGGUAAUACAGAGGGUGCGAGCGUUAAUCGGAUUUACUGGGCGUAAAGCGUGCGUAGGCGGCUUUUUAAGUCGGAUGUGAAAUCCCCGAGCUUAACUUGGGAAUUGCAUUCGAUACUGGGAAGCUAGAGUAUGGGAGAGGAUGGUAGAAUUCCAGGUGUAGCGGUGAAAUGCGUAGAGAUCUGGAGGAAUACCGAUGGCGAAGGCAGCCAUCUGGCCUAAUACUGACGCUGAGGUACGAAAGCAUGGGGAGCAAACAGGAUUAGAUACCCUGGUAGUCCAUGCCGUAAACGAUGUCUACUAGCCGUUGGGGCCUUUGAGGCUUUAGUGGCGCAGCUAACGCGAUAAGUAGACCGCCUGGGGAGUACGGUCGCAAGACUAAAACUCAAAUGAAUUGACGGGGGCCCGCACAACCGGUGGAGCAUGUGGUUUAAUUCGAUGCAACGCGAAAAACCUUACCUGGUCUUGACAUAGUAAUA
rnacentral:rRNA from 1 species